UCAGUACUUCUUGAUCGUAUACAGAUUGUAUCCUGAGUAUUUCAUUGCUCGAUCACUUUCGAUUUUCGAGUAAUUCCGGAUUACCAUCUGUAUACGUAUCAAGAUCAUAGUAC
rnacentral:pre_miRNA from 12 species